rnacentral:rRNA from 1 species
GACGUAGGGUGCAAGCGUUACUCGGAAUUACUGGGCGUAAAGCGUGCGCAGGCGGUUUGCUAAGACAGAUGUGAAAUCCCCGGGCUCAACCUGGGAACUGCAUUUGUGACUGCAUAGCUAGAGUACGGUAGAGGGGGAUGGAAUUCCGCGUGUAGCAGUGAAAUGCGUAGAUAUGCGGAGGAACACCGAUGGCGAAGGCAAUCCCCUGGACCUGUACUGACGCUCAUGCACGAAAGCGUGGGGAGCAAACAGG